rnacentral:rRNA from 1 species
AUGAGCUACAUAUAUCAUUUUCCAUAGCCUAUGGUUAUGGUUUGAUAUUUAUAAGCUGCGAUAAGCAUUGGGUAGGUGCAAAUAACCUUUGAUCCAGUGAUUUCCGAAUGGGACAACCCGGCUGUCUGAAGGACAGUCAUUACCAUCUUUUUGGUAAGGCAAACGCAGGGAACUGAAACAUCUUAGUACCUGCAGGAAGAGAAAAUAAUUCAAUGAUUCCCCCAGUAGUGGCGAGCGACCGGGGAACAGCCCAAACCCAUCCCGUAGCAAUGCGGGUUGGGGGUAGUAGGACCGCGCUGUCGUACUUUGAUUGUGAGGAGAAGCUUCUGGAAAGAAGCAUCGUAGAGGGUGACAAUCCCGUAUCCGUAGCAUGACGAGGCGUAGCGGUAUCCUGAGUAACGCGGAACACGUGAAAUUCUGCGCGAAUCUGCCGGGACCAUCCGGCAAGGCUAAAUACUCCCGUGAGACCGAUAGUGGACGAGUACCGUGAGGGAAAGGUGAAAAGCACCCCGCGAGGGGAGUGAAAUAGUUCCUGAAACCAUGCGCCUACAAGCGGUCGGAGCCGCGCAAGCGGUGACGGCGUGCCUUUUGCAUAAUGAACCUACGAGUUACCAUGUCCGGCAAGGUUUAGCGGUUCAGCCGCGCAGCCUCAGUGAAAGCGAGCCUGAAGAGGGCGUUUAAGUCGGAUGGGGUAGACGCGAAACCAAGUGAUCUACACUUGCCCAGGUUGAAGUUCCGGUAACACGGAAUGGAGGACCGAACCAAUAAGCGUUGAAAAGCUUCUGGAUGAGGUGAGUGUAGGAGUGAAAGGCCAAUCAAACUUGGAGAUAGCUCGUACUCCCCGAAAGGCAUUUAGGUGGGUAGGGGAGCAUUCCAUCGACGCAGAAUGGUGAUAUUGAUUGAUCCUGGAGUUUAUGGAAAAGCAAAUGUAGGUAUAAGUAACGAUAAAAAGGGUGUGAUUCCCUUUCGCCGUAAGACCGAGGUUUCCCGGGCGAUGCCAAUCAGCCCGGGGUGAGUCGGGUCCUAAGCCUCAGCCGAAUGGCGAUGGCGAUGGCAGACACGGUUAAUAUUCCGUGACUUGCGCAUAUAGCGAUGUGGAGACGGAGCAGUGACACUGUCGCGUCCUGACGGAAAUGGGCGUUGAAGGUUGUAGGCGUUGAGGGAUACAGGCAAAUCCGUAUUCCGAGCUGAAUUCCGACAGUACGGUCUUCUUUUCGGAGACGACCGAUAGCACAGGUAAUCAUACUCCCUAGAAAAUCCGCUAAGCAUAUGUUUGCGCAACCCGUACCGCAAACGGACACACGUGGUCGGGUAGAACAUACCAAGGCGUUGAGAGAUUCAUGGUUAAGGAACUAGGCAAACUGACCCCGUAACUUCGGGAAAAGGGGUCCUCAUGGCGACAUGAGGCGCAGAGAAUAGGUCCAGGCAACUGUUUAACAAAAACACAGGGCUGUGCCAACUCGAAAGAUGACGUAUACAGCCUGACACCUGCCCGGUGCCGGAAGGUUAAGAGGAGAUGUCACACUUAUGUGGAAGCAUUGAAUUGAAGCCCCGGUAAACGGCGGCCGUAACUAUAACGGUCCUAAGGUAGCGAAAUUCCUUGUCGGGUAAGUUCCGACCUGCACGAAUGGUGUAAUGAUCCGGACGCUGUCUCAACCAUGAUCUCAGUGAAAUUGUAGUAUCGGUGAAGAUGCCGAUUACCCGCGAUGGGACGAAAAGACCCCGUGAACCUUUACUACA